ensembl:misc_RNA 7SK 7SK RNA
AGAUGUGAGGGCGACCUGGCUGAGACAUCUGUCACCCCACUGCUCGCCAGGGUUGAUUCAGCUGAUCUGGCUGGCUAGGCAGGUGUCCCCUUCCUCCCUCACCGCUCCAGGUGCGGCCCUCCUGGAGCUGCGCGCUUGGUUACGCUCGAUCUUAGCCAAAAGGCCAAGAAGCGAUGUGUACUUGGUUAAAGAGGACGACCUUCCCUGGUAGAGAACUGUUCUUUGGUCAAGGGUAUACAAGUAGCUGCGCUCCCUUGCUAGAACCUUCAAAAGAUGUCAAUUUUCUUUCUGAGUUGCAAUCCCAAGAAAUUGUGCCUAACAGCCUGUCACAAAGCAGGGGUUGAAAACUCACAGCUGGUGCCAAAUACAGUUUUAGAGAGGUCUUUGUUGUUU